AUGAGCUCCACGGCUGCUGCGGCGCCACCAGCCAGGCGCACGCGCAGCCGGCCGCCGUCUGCCUCGUCCCGCAGGUCUGAUGACCCCUCCUCCGCCGCCAACGGAAAUGGGAAGACCUCCCCGAAGCUCGCUUCUCCCAAACAUCUUCCGGGGGAGAGGACGGUGAAGAAGCUAAGGCUGUCCAAGGCGCUGACGAUACCUGAGGGCACGACGGUCUACGACGCGUCCCGGCGGAUGGCGGCGAGGCGGGUCGACGCGGUGCUGCUCACCGAUGCCCAAGGCCUCCUAUCUGGCAUAGUCACCGAUAAGGAUAUAUCCACACGAGUGAUUGCAGAGGGGCUGCGGGUGGAGCAAACCAUCAUGUCCAAGAUCAUGACACGGAAUCCUACUUAUGUCACUGCUGACUCACUUGCAAUUGAGGCAUUGCAAAAGAUGGUUCAAGGUAAAUUUAGACACCUCCCAGUUGUGGAAAAUGGUGAGGUUAUGGCUAUGCUAGACAUUGCAAAAUGCCUUUAUGAUGCUAUAGCAAGAUUGGAAAAGGCAGCUGAACAAGGGAGUGCUAUAGCAGCUGCAGUAGAGGGGGUUGAGCGUCAACUGGGAGGCAACUUUACAGCUCCUUAUGCUUUCAUAGAAACUCUAAGAGAGCGGAUGUUCAAACCUUCUCUGUCAACCAUUGUCACGGAGGGCACAAAGGUAGCAAUUGUUUCCCCUUCAGAUCCUGUGUAUGUGGCGACACAGAAAAUGCGUGAGUUUCGAGUUAAUUCAGUGAUUGUCACUACAGGGAACACAGUGCAGGGGAUCUUUACCUCAAAAGAUGUUCUUAUGCGUGUUGUGUCACAGAAUCUUUCCCCAGAAUUGACCUUAGUAGAAAAGGUGAUGACUGCAAACCCUGAUUGUGCUACGUUAGACACGACAAUUCUUGAUGCGCUACAUAUAAUGCAUGAUGGCAAAUUCUUGCACAUUCCUGUUCUGGACAGAGAGGGCCAAAUUGCUGCUUGCCUCGAUGUCCUGCAACUUACCCAUGCAGCCAUUCAAUUGGUUGAAGGGGGCAAUGGGACUGCUAAUGACAUGGCAAACUCAGUAAUGCAGAGGUUCUGGGACUCUGCGCUUGCUUUAGAACCUCCAGAUGACGAACUUGAUAGCCGUAGCGAAGCAUCCUUACUUAUGGCGUCAGAAGCCGGGGAUGGGCGGAGUAGUAUAUAUCCCCCUAUCAUUGGUAAUUCGUUUCCCUUUAAGCUUCAAGACCGGAAGGGACGCGUGCAUAGAUUCACCUGUGGCUCAGAGAGCUUAAACGAGCUUGUGUCCUCUGUAAGGCAAAGAUUGAGUAUUAUUGAUGAAAAGGACAUCAUUCAAAUCUUGUACGAAGAUGAUGAGGGUGACCGGGUGCUGCUGACAACGGAUACUGAUCUUGCUGGCGCCGUGCUCCAUGCCAAAUCAUCCGGUUUGAAGGUUCUCAAGUUGCAUAUCGUGGACGAGUCUAAUCCAAACACAGAGGUGGUAAAACCAUUACAGGAGCUAGCACCUCACAGCAGGAAUGGUGCGUCUUCUGUUAAAAUCGGGCUCAUGGCUGGUGCAGUUGCUCUCAGUGGCGCGGCAGUCAUGGUGUACUUGAAACGAUCCAGGGUGUGA
rnacentral:rRNA from 1 species